rnacentral:rRNA from 2 species
UGCCUAAUACAUGCAAGUCGAGCGGACAGAUGGGAGCUUGCUCCCUGAUGUUAGCGGCGGACGGGUGAGUAACACGUGGGUAACCUGCCUGUAAGACUGGGAUAACUCCGGGAAACCGGGGCUAAUACCGGAUGGUUGUUUGAACCGCAUGGUUCAAACAUAAAAGGUGGCUUCGGCUACCACUUACAGAUGGACCCGCGGCGCAUUAGCUAGUUGGUGAGGUAACGGCUCACCAAGGCGACGAUGCGUAGCCGACCUGAGAGGGUGAUCGGCCACACUGGGACUGAGACACGGCCCAGACUCCUACGGGAGGCAGCAGUAGGGAAUCUUCCGCAAUGGACGAAAGUCUGACGGAGCAACGCCGCGUGAGUGAUGAAGGUUUUCGGAUCGUAAAGCUCUGUUGUUAGGGAAGAACAAGUACCGUUCGAAUAGGGCGGUACCUUGACGGUACCUAACCAGAAAGCCACGGCUAACUACGUGCCAGCAGCCGCGGUAAUACGUAGGUGGCAAGCGUUGUCCGGAAUUAUUGGGCGUAAAGGGCUCGCAGGCGGUUUCUUAAGUCUGAUGUGAAAGCCCCCGGCUCAACCGGGGAGGGUCAUUGGAAACUGGGGAACUUGAGUGCAGAAGAGGAGAGUGGAAUUCCACGUGUAGCGGUGAAAUGCGUAGAGAUGUGGAGGAACACCAGUGGCGAAGGCGACUCUCUGGUCUGUAACUGACGCUGAGGAGCGAAAGCGUGGGGAGCGAACAGGAUUAGAUACCCUGGUAGUCCACGCCGUAAACGAUGAGUGCUAAGUGUUAGGGGGUUUCCGCCCCUUAGUGCUGCAGCUAACGCAUUAAGCACU